CAGUAGCCGCGGUAAUACGAAGGGGGCUAGCGUUGUUCGGAAUUACUGGGCGUAAAGGGCGCGUAGGCGGCCAUUCAAGUUAGAUGUGAAAGCCCUGGGCUCAACCUAGGAAUUGCAUUUGAUACUGUUUGGCUUGAGUUCGGGAGAGGUGAGUGGAAUUCCCAGUGUAGAGGUGAAAUUCGUAGAUAUUCGGAAGAACACCAGUGGCGAAGGCGACUGACUGGACAAGUAUUGACGCUGAGGUGCGAAAGCGUGGGGAGCAAACAGGAUUAGAGACCCCCGUAGUCCCUGUCUCUUAUAC
rnacentral:rRNA from 1 species